GCUGGAAAAGUCCUGUUAAUAACUGCUCCUUUCUACUACGGUUAGCCCUUCAUUUAACAGUUUCAGUAGAUUUUUUGAUUCUUUCAUUUUAAUAGAUAAAACUGUAAUGAGUGAAACUAAUGAAGAUUCCCUUGCAAAUAAUCAGACCAAUAAUGUUACACCCAGGUGUAAAUUAGCUUUAAUGUUACACUCUGUGGUUAUUCUUAGAUAAGAAAUACCUGCAAAUUACAGGAAUAAUUAAACUCUUUUGAUAAAAAAUUAAGAGCAGAUUGAGAGAUUACAGCACUCCAUGCAUAUUAUAAACCCCAAAUCUACAGAGAAAUUAAUCAUACACUCAGCUUUAAGUAUGUGCUCAACACCACCACUUCCUUCACUUUUAAGCAAGUGCUCAAGUCCGUGUUUUCCUGCAGCCAGAAGUGACACUAGAGAGUGCUUUAGACUAUGAGAGGAUAUCAUUUCUAACAAUCACGUUGUCAGAAGAGGAAAGAAUAAGAACCAGCUUUUAGUCAAAUUAGUUCCAUUUUACAAGGAAUUACUACACAUAGAAAGACUUGUCUAUUUGCACAUUUUUGGAAACUGGAUGAACUUCAGUUACUGUAAGUUUCAACAGUAAUUAAUCUACCCACUUUACUUUCCCCCGUUUUCUAAUUGAAUCAGUGAGAUACAGGAAAUAAUUUCUAUUCAUUGUAAGUUGCACAGUACUGCAAGGCAAGAAUUAGAAAUUUUGUUCCUAUAUACUGAAUUACAGCUGCCCUCACAUUUUGCUUUGAGCUAACCACUAGAUGACACUACUUCCCACUUACUUUGCAAGUGUGGGCAUAUGCUGCCAUCUCCCCUAUACCCAUUCACAUAUUUACAUGCUUCUCGACCAAAGAACUUCAAAAAGAACAUUAUGCAGGUUUUGCUUUCCCCACUAUACAUUUUGAUGAAUUUUGUGUAUAUACACCUAGGUAUUUAGGUGCGCGUACAUAGAGGUUUACACAAGCAUUACAAGCAGUGUGUGUGUCUUUGCAUGGUUUAUAGAAAACAUGUAUUAUAAGUCACUGUGUGAGUCUUCAGGGUGUUAUAACUUAGCAAGUGCCGACGACAGCUCCACUUAAAAGAAACCAGAGGAACAGCAAGGAAAACUUAAUAGGCUGGAGUUUGUAGAGAAUGUUCCCCUGUCCCCUGCAUCCCGGUGUCUGUUCCCCCCUUCCCCCAAAAAAGGGAUACUAUAUUGGCUUCUGUAGUGUGAUUCUGAAUCCAUGGUGAAAAAUAUCAUGCUGAGGAGUCAGGCAAGAGUAGGCUUCACUAUUCAAGUCCAAAAAUGACAGACUAAGGAAAAGAAGAAAGACACAGAAGGGCUGUCAUGUAUAUCCAUAAGGCGGCUGCUGCUGCUGUGGUUUUUAAAUUAGGAAGAAUGAACUUUCCAGAAGGAUGUGUGGAAAGAAUCUCACAUUUCUAAAAGCCUGAUUUUCAGAAAUCCAGAAGCUCCAGAUUACUUGAAAAAUGGCUCCUCCAAAGUUACAUUUAUGCUACUAAAUUGCAUGCACAAAGGCAUGAGAACAUGGAAGUGGAGUAACAGCACCCUCAGAUACACUUUUAUUUUUGCCUAAGUCAACAGGCAUCUUGCUUUGUUAAGAUUUGUCUCAAUUUAUAACACAUUUGCUCUAUAUGUGCUGUAACUGUAAAACAUACAUUGUGUGAUAAACUUCAUUUAAAGAGUGUUUUAAAUGGCCAUACUAAAGGACGUCUUUAAAGUGUGCCCAUCCUCUAGUAGUGUGACAAUGUACUACCUAGAGUCAAAGCAAAA
rnacentral:lncRNA from 1 species